rnacentral:rRNA from 1 species
GGCUCAGAACGAACGCUGGCUCCGUGCUUAACACAUGCAAGUCGAACGAUGAACCUCCUUCGGGAGGGGAUUAGUGGCGAACGGGUGAGUAACACGUGGGCAAUCUGCCCUUCACUCUGGGACAAGCCCUGGAAACGGGGUCUAAUACCGGAUACGACCUCCGACCGCAUGGUCUGGUGGUGGAAAGCUCCGGCGGUGAAGGAUGAGCCCGCGGCCUAUCAGCUUGUUGGUGGGGUGAUGGCCUACCAAGGCGACGACGGGUAGCCGGCCUGAGAGGGCGACCGGCCACACUGGGACUGAGAUACGGCCCAGACUCCUACGGGAGGCAGCAGUGGG